CCUACGGGAGGCAGCAGUAGGGAAUCUUCCGCAAUGGACGCAAGUCUGACGGAGCAACGCCGCGUGAGUGACGAAGGUUUUCGGAUCGUAAAACUCUGUUGUGAGGGAAGAACACGUACCAGGUAACUACUGGUACCUUGACGGUACCUCACCAGAAAGCCACGGCUAACUACGUGCCAGCAGCCGCGGUAAU
rnacentral:rRNA from 1 species